rnacentral:rRNA from 2 species
GAACGCCUCUAAGUCAGAAUCCGUGCUGGAAGCGAUGAUGUUGGUCCCGCACUUAUUACGUGUGUUCAAAUAGAGCUUUGUCUCGUACACCAUACUUGGUAGGUUCCUCAGGGCAGCGGAAAGGCUGGUUCUGUGGUCUACGGAUUGCAAUUGAAAUAUGGGCGGGGGUAAAUCCUUUGCAGACGACUUAAAUUGGAACGGAGUGCUGUAAGCAGUAGAGUAGCCUUGUUGCUACGAUCUGCUGAGGCUAAGCUCUU